AGUGGCUGAGGGCUCUCAGCUGAAGAAUGUAGACUCACUCAAAGUUAUAGUCCCUCCCUGAGGGAAGCCAGCAGCCAGCGAGCAGUUAAAUUGAGGGUAUAAAAGUCAGGCCUUUAUUAUCUCAAAUCAGGGUAGCUUUGAAGGGCUAUCUCAAUUGCAAGUUUCCCUGAGAGAUGACUGCGGCAUUCAUUGCAGUUCCUUGGCUAUUCAAUUUCUCCCUCUGCUUAAUCAUACAUCCUUCACCCCUCACAAGUGUUGUUCCUGAGAGCAGUCUGCAUGAAGCUUCUGCGUGCAAAUGACGCAGUCUCGGAACCAUUUCCUCAUGGAAUCUGACCCACAACAAGCAAGUUUUGAAGUAAGAGCUUUCUAGGCAACUCCAUCUCCUGGAAAAGAAAAUAUCUCUUUACAGUUGAUUCCUGUGUUUAUUAUUCACCAUGGAAAGUAAACAGCUGAAAUGAAAUGACUACAAAAUGAGGUUUCUCUUUAGUCAUCAGAAUGUGGAACACAGCUUUUCUGGGAUUAUCAUUCUGCUAUUGGGGUUUCAGAAGUGGAGCUGCAAUUGUCUUCACUCAGGACACCUGAGCCCCUGCAUUAACAAUCUAAGCAAACUGGAAAAGACAAGAUUCCUCAGGCCUCAAAUCAUUGCAUACGGAGCACCAGAAUCUGCAAGAAUCCCACUGCAGUUCUCUAUCACUUGUAUAGAAAUGCUGACUGAAAAUUCAAGUAAUAAAUUUGAUAAAUUAUGCUGUGGUAUUUACACUAAGCUGUCUUAAUAAGAAACAUAUAUUUUGAGGGACAGGAGCAUGUUUAUCUUUAUUUCGAUCAAUCCACUUUCAGUUAGCUGCAUAUGCUGAUGAGCGGCUUGGACUAAACACACCACCACUCAGAGGAAAGGGAGCUGAAUUGCAGCAGGAGUAAUAAAAACAAUUGAAAAUGAAGGCUGCUAUAGAAGAGGCAAGGACAACUGAUUGGGUAAACAAAACCCCCAAAUCAGUAAAAAAAAAAAAAAAAAAAAAAAAAGAUGAAAGUUGGGCUCAUCAAUGUAAGGCAAUAAUCCCACGUGAGUUAUAAAAGAGAGAAGAAAAAUCUGAGAUGGUUGUGGAUAAAGAUGAAAGACAAGCCCGGACAUCAGACAGCAGCCCAAUAUAAGUGCUGUACUGCCACAAAAUGGUUAGCAGCAGUUCACCGUUCCUAAAAGUGAUGCCCAUACGUAAUUGAGAGAAGGAACAGAAGGAAAGACCUCACUUGUCCCCAAGAAGUUUCUGGAGCCUGUGUGGGUCUACAGUGUAAGAUGACAUAGCUAUCAAAUAAGAGUCUGGAAGAAGAUUCCCUUCCUAAAAAGGAGUGUGGCGUUUAAGGAAAGCUUACUGUGAACCAGGAGCUUUACAUGGUAUUUCACUUAAUUUUCUUCUAAAAAAUGUAUUAUAUUCAUCUUUAAAAUAUGAAGCUGAAGCCUGGCUAUUAUUUAUUAAGCUCUUACUAUGUACAAUGCACUGAACUAAGCACUUUACAAGCAUUAUCUCAUUUUAUCCUCACAACAACCCUUUAAGUAGGUAUUACCAUCCCUAGUUUAGAUAUAAUACAAGUAUUAGCUGGGGUGACCCUUCCUUUUGAGAUCUAUAUAAGCUUGGUGUGACCCUCCACUUCAAGAAAAACCAUUGCUAGCCCCAUGGUUUCUAAAACUUCCUUAGGAGCUUACUUUCUCAUGGUUUCCCCUGUCUCUGAGCUCCUGCUUUCACUGAAUGUGUUUAUCUUAGUAACUGUCUGAUCAUUCCAUCUUUUCCCUUUUUUCAUUCAGUUCUACUCUAAACAUUGGGUCCAUUCCCUUUACUUAAUUCACACACAGACACAAAUCCAACCAAGCCAUUUGUGUUUACAGCAAAUUUUACUAAAGAUUUAGAAAGACAGAGUAGGUCUACAAUACAGUAUCAGAAGUAACUUGGAGCUAAUAUUAGUGCUCCCUGUUUCUAGAGUCCUUUUAGCCACCCCAACAUUCCAUGUAGCCCCAACAUUUCUUACUGGCUCCUGUUUCCCCUUCUCCCUACUCCUUCUCAUCAGGGCCAACAAUAAAUGAAUAAUUUCUCCCAUGUUCUUAUAGAAAAUGACUGGCCCUUCCUGUAUUCUACAUUUCCUUUCCAGACCCUUCUCUGAAGCCUAUAUUUUCAUAACCAAAUUAUCCAUUAAGGUAUUUUCCCAAAGAGUUAUGUCCCUAAGAGGAAUUC
rnacentral:lncRNA from 1 species